ensembl:lncRNA
GCAAGCCCUAUCAAUAGAGAACUCUGACACCUUUGACAAGAACCAAACUUAGCUCAGUCCCUGUGAUGUCAGUGAAGGACAAGACAACAUCUAGAUUUGAAGAGCUGAAUGUUCCUCCUUCCACUGCUGGUGCAUGUCUACCUGGUCUUGAAAUGCAAGGUCAACACACAAAUCUGAAACAAGUGUCACUGACAGACUGAAUUAGAGAGUCUCACUGCAGUCCCCUCAAGGUUCCACCACUGAUGUCAGCACAGAAUGACAACUACAUUGCAACAAUGUCA